rnacentral:rRNA from 1 species
GACGAACGCUGGCGGCGUGCUUAACACAUGCAAGUCGAACGAUGAAACCUAGCUUGCUAGGUCGAUUAGUGGCGAACGGGUGAGUAACACGUGACUAACCUGCCCCUUUCUCUGGGAUAACGCUCCGAAAGAAGUGCUAAUACCGGAUACUCACAUCGAGGCACAUGCCUUGAUGUGGAAAGUUUUUCGGAAAGGGAUGGAGUCGCGGCCUCUCAGCUUGUUGGUGAGGUAACGGCUCACCAAGGCGACGACGGGUAGCCGGCCUGAGAGGGCGACCGGCCACACUGGGACUGAGACACGGCCCAGACUCCUACGGGAGGCAGCAGUGGGGAAUAUUGCACAAUGGGCGCAAGCCUGAUGCAGCGACGCCGCGUGAGGGAUGAAGGUCUUCGGAUUGUAAACCUCUUUCAGUAGGGACGGAGCGAAAGUGACGGUACCUAAAGAAGAAGCACUGGCUAACUACGUGCCAGCCGCCGCUGUAA